CCUACGGGAGGCAGCAGUGAGGAAUAUUGGUCAAUGGGCGCGAGCCUGAACCAGCCAAGUCGCGUGAAGGAUGACGGCUCUACGGUUUGUAAACUUCUUUUAUAAAGGAGUAAAGUGCGGUACGUGUCGCGUUUUGAAUGUACUUUACGAAUAAGGAUCGGCUAACUCCGUGCCAGCAGCCGCGGUAAUACGGAGGCUCCGAGCGUUAUCCGGAUUUAUUGGGUUUAAAGGGUGCGUAGGUGGGUUGUUAAGUCAGUGGUGAAAGUUUGCGGCUCAACCGUAGAAUUGCCAUUGAUACUGGCAGACUAGAGUAUGGUAGAGGCAGGCGGAAGUCGUGGUGUAGCGGUGAAAUGCGUAGAGAUCACGAAGAACACCGAUUGCGAAGGCAGCUUGCUAGACCGUAACUGACACUGAUGCGCGAAAGCGUGGGGAGCAAACAGGAUUAGAUACCCGUGUAGUC
rnacentral:rRNA from 1 species